rnacentral:rRNA from 1 species
UACGUAGGAGGCAAGCGUUGUCCGGAUUUAUUGGGCGUAAAGAGCGUGUAGGCGGCCAGGUAGGUCCGUUGUGAAAACCCGAGGCUUAACCUCGAGACGUCGAUGGAAACCAUCUGGCUAGAGUCCGGAAGAGGAGAGUGGAAUUCCUGGUGUAGCGGUGAAAUGCGCAGAUAUCAGGAAGAACACCCGUGGCGAAGGCGGCUCUCUGGGACGUGACUGACGCUGAGACGCGAAAGCGUGGGGAGCAAACAGG